GUAAAAAGUAGAAUAAUAGAUUUGAAAUAUUUAUUAUAUAGAUUUAAAGAGAUAAUCAUGGAGUAUAAAAAUUAAAUUUAAUAAAUUUAAUAUAACUAUUAAUAGAAUUAGGUUACUAAUAAAUUAAUAACAAUUAAUUUUAAAACCUAAAGGUAAACCUUUAUAUUAAUAAUGUUUUUUUUUUUUAUUUUUAUAAUUAAGAAUAAUUAUUAAUAAUAAUAAACUAAGUGAACUGAAACAUCUAAGUAACUUAAGGAUAAUAAAUCAACAGAGAUAUUAUGAGUAUUGGUGAGAGAAAAUAAUAAAGGUCUAAUAAGUAUUAUGUGAAAAAAAUGUAAGAAAAUAGGAUAACAAAUUCUAAGACUAAAUACUAUUAAUAAGUAUAGUAAGUACCGUAAGGGAAAGUAUGAAAAUGAUUAUUUUAUAAGCAAUCAUGAAUAUAUUAUAUUAUAUUAAUGAUGUACCUUUUGUAUAAUGGGUCAGCAAGUAAUUAAUAUUAGUAAAACAAUAAGUUAUAAAUAAAUAGAAUAAUAUAUAUAUAUAAAAAAAUAUAUUAAAAUAUUUAAUUAAUAUUAAUUGACCCGAAAGCAAACGAUCUAACUAUGAUAAGAUGGAUAAACGAUCGAACAGGUUGAUGUUGCAAUAUCAUCUGAUUAAUUGUGGUUAGUAGUGAAAGACAAAUCUGGUUUGCAGAUAGCUGGUUUUCUAUGAAAUAUAUGUAAGUAUAGCCUUUAUAAAUAAUAAUUAUUAUAUAAUAUUAUAUAUUAUAUAAAGAAUGGUACAGCAAUUAAUAUAUAUUAGGGAACUAUUAAAGUUUUAUUAAUAAUAUUAAAUCUCGAAAUAUUUAAUUAUAUAUAAUAAAGAGUCAGAUUAUGUGCGAUAAGGUAAAUAAUCUAAAGGGAAACAGCCCAGAUUAAGAUAUAAAGUUCCUAAUAAAUAAUAAGUGAAAUAAAUAUUAAAAUAUUAUAAUAUAAUCAGUUAAUGGGUUUGACAAUAACCAUUUUUUAAUGAACAUGUAACAAUGCACUGAUUUAUAAUAAAUAAAAAAAAUAAUAUUUAAAAUCAAAUAUAUAUAUAUUUGUUAAUAGAUAAUAUACGGAUCUUAAUAAUAAGAAUUAUUUAAUUCCUAAUAUGGAAUAUUAUAUUUUUAUAAUAAUAAUAAAAAUAUAAAUACUGAAUAUCUAAAUAUUAUUAUUACUUUUUUUUUUAAUAAUAAUAAUAUGGUAAUAGAACAUUUAAUGAUAAUAUAUAUUAGUUAUUAAUUAAUAUAUGUAUUAAUUAAAUAGAGAAUGCUGACAUGAGUAACGAAAAAAAGGUAUAAACCUUUUCACCUAAAACAUAAGGUUUAACUAUAAAAGUACGGCCCCUAAUUAAAUUAUAUAAGAAUAUAAAUAUAUUUAAGAUGGGAUAAUCUAUAUUAAUAAAAAUUUAUCUUAAAAUAUAUAUAUUAUUAAUAAUUAUAUUAAUUAAUUAAUAAUAUAUAUAAUUAUAUUAUAUAUUAUAUUUUUAUAUAUAAUAUAUAUAAUAUAAACUAAUAAAGAUCAGGAAAUAAUUAAUGUAUACCGUAAUGUAGACCGACUCAGGUAUGUAAGUAGAGAAUAUGAAGGUGAAUUAGAUAAUUAAAGGGAAGGAACUCGGCAAAGAUAGCUCAUAAGUUAGUCAAUAAAGAGUAAUAAGAACAAAGUUGUACAACUGUUUACUAAAAACACCGCACUUUGCAGAAACGAUAAGUUUAAGUAUAAGGUGUGAACUCUGCUCCAUGCUUAAUAUAUAAAUAAAAUUAUUUAACGAUAAUUUUAUUAAAUUUAGGUAAAUAGCAGCCUUAUUAUGAGGGUUAUAAUGUAGCGAAAUUCCUUGGCCUAUAAUUGAGGUCCCGCAUGAAUGACGUAAUGAUACAACAACUGUCUCCCCUUUAAGCUAAGUGAAAUUGAAAUCGUAGUGAAGAUGCUAUGUACCUUCAGCAAGACGGAAAGACCCUAUGCAGCUUUACUGUAAUUAGAUAGAUCGAAUUAUUGUUUAUUAUAUUCAGCAUAUUAAGUAAUCCUAUUAUUAGGUAAUCGUUUAGAUAUUAAUGAGAUACUUAUUAUAAUAUAAUGAUAAUUCUAAUCUUAUAAAUAAUUAUUAUUAUUAUUAUUAUUAAUAAUAAUAAUAUGCUUUCAAGCAUAGUGAUAAAACAUAUUUAUAUGAUAAUCACUUUACUUAAUAGAUAUAAUUCUUAAGUAAUAUAUAAUAUAUAUUAUAUAUAUAUUAUAUAUAAUAUAAGAGACAAUCUCUAAUUGGUAGUUUUGAUGGGGCGUCAUUAUCAGCAAAAGUAUCUGAAUAAGUCCAUAAAUAAAUAUAUAAAAUUAUUGAAUAAAAAAAUAAUAUAUAUUAUAUAUAUUAAUUAUAAAUUGAAAUAUGUUUAUAUAAAUUUAUAUUUAUUGAAUAUAUUUUAGUAAUAGAUAAAAAUAUGUACAGUAAAAUUGUAAGGAAAACAAUAAUAACUUUCUCCUCUCUCGGUGGGGGUUCACACCUAUUUUUAAUAGGUGUGAACCCCUCUUCGGGGUUCCGGUUCCCUUUCGGGUCCCGGAACUUAAAUAAAAAUGGAAAGAAUUAAAUUAAUAUAAUGGUAUAACUGUGCGAUAAUUGUAACACAAACGAGUGAAACAAGUACGUAAGUAUGGCAUAAUGAACAAAUAACACUGAUUGUAAAGGUUAUUGAUAACGAAUAAAAGUUACGCUAGGGAUAACAGGGUAAUAUAGCGAAAGAGUAGAUAUUGUAAGCUAUGUUUGCCACCUCGAUGUCGACUCAACAUUUCCUCUUGGUUGUAAAAGCUAAGAAGGGUUUGACUGUUCGUCAAUUAAAAUGUUACGUGAGUUGGGUUAAAUACGAUGUGAAUCAGUAUGGUUCCUAUCUGCUGAAGGAAAUAUUAUCAAAUUAAAUCUCAUUAUUAGUACGCAAGGACCAUAAUGAAUCAACCCAUGGUGUAUCUAUUGAUAAUAAUAUAAUAUAUUUAAUAAAAAUAAUACUUUAUUAAUAUAUUAUCUAUAUUAGUUUAUAUUUUAAUUAUAUAUUAUCAUAGUAGAUAAGCUAAGUUGAUAAUAAAUAAAUAUUGAAUACAUAUUAAAUAUGAAGUUGUUUUAAUAAGAUAAUUAAUCUGAUAAUUUUAUACUAAAAUUAAUAAUUAUAGGUUUUAUAUAUUAUUUAUAAAUAAAUAUAUUAUAAUAAUAAUAAUUAUUAUUAUUAAUAAAAAAUAUUAAUUAUAAUAUUAAUAAAAUACUAAUUUAUCAGUUAUCUAUAUAAUAUCUAAUCUAUUAUUCUAUAUACU
rnacentral:rRNA from 2 species